rnacentral:lncRNA from 10 species
AUGCCCUGUCUGCCAGCACCCGAGGGACGUCCUGCUUGCCAGUCCUGUCUCACAUUCCCAUGCCUGCCAGCCCCAGCCUGCUGGCUGCAGCAACUGCCAUCUGGGGCAUCUGACACGGUCUCCGCCAUUCCAAGGGCUGCUUCCACUCCUCCAGUGAGAGCGAGCCUCGGGACCAGAGGAGCGGCCCAAACAACCCUGAGUGUGAUGAGAAACCAUUGUUACCGUGGCUCUAAGCUAGGAAGUUUUGCGGUGUUUGGCUUUGUAGCAAAAGGUAACUGACACCCCUUUUAUUUAGGGGUCUGCCGUUUCUCCAGUGAUUUGUCACGCCAUCUUCACUGUAUCCUAAGUUUCCAUUUUAUGGAGUCUGUUUCUGGACUUUCCAUUCUGUUCAGCUCGUCUGAAUCCGCACAUACCAAUACUGCAGGUUUAAUGACAGAAGCUUUCUAGUGUGCUGCAGUGAUGUCUGGAUGUACCACUAACUCUAAAAACAAACAAAAAAGACUGAUUUUCCUGGAGAGUCUUGCCUUGUCAAAACUGGAAUUGAAAAUAAUCUUGACUAGCUCCAUUUUUUUAAAAAAACUGAGAAGUAUUGACAUCUGUAUGUUAAAUUGUGUUAUCUUAAAACUCGGUAUAUUUCUCAGUGUUUUAAUCUUUUCCUCACUUGUCAUUAUUUUUUGAAGUUAUUCCUAGUUAUCUUUUUCCUUUUUUUGAGACAUGGUCUCUCUGUCACCCAGGCUGGAGUGCAGUGGUGCAAUCAUGGUUCACUGCAGUCUUUAUCACAGGCCUGCUCUGGGCUGAGCGGUGAGAUGGGGUCUCUUGAAAAGUGGGCACUGAACUGAAUGCACUGAGCUAAGAGGCAUCUCAGGGGAUACCUGGCCUCCAGCAGCACCAAAACGGGGUCCAUGGUCAUCCCAGGGACUCAGCAUUGUGGUCGAACCAUGGUGUCCCCCUCUCCAGGCUCCAGUCCUCGCCAGAAUCACCAACUCUGCCAGAAACUCGAUUAUUUCUUUCCGUUUGUUCCUUGUUUGCCAACACAACACUGUCUGCAUGGCAACACGUUAUGGGACAUCCGUAAGGUGGAAUGUUAUGCAGACGUUAUAAAUUGUCGAGUCUUCCACUGCCUCAUCACAGU